rnacentral:misc_RNA from 1 species
GAUGAAGAACGUAGCGAAAUGCGAUAAGUAAUGUGAAUUGCAGAAUUCAGUGAAUCAUCGAAUCUUUGAACGCACAUUGCGCCCGCCAGUAUUCUGGCGGGCAUGCCUGUUCGACCGUCAUUUCAACCCUCAAGCCCCCGGGCUUGGUGUUGGGGAUCGGCGUGCCCUCGCGGCGCGCCGUCCCCUAAAUCUAGUGGCGGUCUCGCUGUAGCUUCCUCUGCGUAGUAGCAACACUCGCACUGGAUCGCAGCGCGGCCACGCCGUUAAACCCCCACUUCUGAAAGUUUGACCUCGGAUCAGGUAGGAAUACCCGCUGAACUUAAGCAUAUCAAUAAGCGGAGGA